UUUCUACUCCCUCCGUCUGAAAAUACUUGUCAUCAAAAUGGAUAAAAAGAGAUGUAUCUAAAACUAAAAUACGUCUAGAUACAUUCCCUUUUAUCCAUUUUGAUGACAAGUAUUUCCGGACGGAGGGAGUAUUUG
rnacentral:pre_miRNA from 1 species